ensembl:lncRNA
UGGAGAUGUUGUGGAUUUGUGGCAUCAGCGCAGAGGCUGCUAGCGUAGCAGAUUUCGUACAUGGUGUUCAUUGCAGUUAACUCAAGGCUACUGCCACCCAGGCACGUCUCUCUGUCCAGCCGCUCCCUCCACAUUCUCCAGCAGUAAGGAUUUUUGCUACGACACUCGCUUCAGCAAGAGAUCUGGUGCUUAGAACCCUAGCUGUCUGGCUUUGAACUUGAGCUGUACCAGAGGAUGACUGACAUAUGCCAUGCUUCUGCUCAAGUGCUGGAAUUACAGAGAAUGCAGUCAGAAAUUAUGCUGCUUGUGAAGAGAUACAUUGAGCCUUUUGGUCCAGUGAAGUUAUUAAGAAUGUGAUUUAAAAUUGUGAUAAAAUCUGGAUUGCUGGGAAGCCAGAAUUUUGUCGUUGGUUAAGAUAAACUUCUAAGGUCUGCCCCUCAGAUUGUCCUACUCAAGAUUUGCCAGCACACCAGGAUGAAUCAAUUGUUUCCAUGGAUAGACACCUUUGGGAGACAGUUGGAAAGCCUUGGUAAGUUGUUAAUACUUUUGGUUAGGUUUCUCAUUUGGUAACAAGGAAAGUAAUCACCAUGUGGCAUUUUCAGCCUUUUUCAACACAUACUAAGUACUUACUAAGUACCCGAUAUUAUUCUAAGUAUGAACAAGGCCCUGUCCUUAAGAUACAUUCUUUUUUGUGAGGUAGGAUAAAUGGCUAAAUACUAAAUGUAUUAUAAAUGUUAUAUUGGAUCCCCUUUUUAAAAAUUUCUUUGUCUAUUUUGAUUUUUCAAGAAAGGGUUUCUCUGUAGCUCUGGCUAUCCUGAAAUUAACUCUGGAUUAGGCUGUCCUAGAACUCAGAGAUCAGUAUGCCUCUGUUUCCGUAGUGCUGGGAUAAAAGCCAUGCACUACCACCCAGCAGGAUUUUCCCCUCUAUGAUAUGAAAUUGCAUUGAAUGAAGUUAGGCAAGCAGAGUGGCAUUAAACCCAGCAGGAUUGAGGUAGGAAGAUUACCAGUUUGAGGCCAUCAUUGGCUACAGUAACAAGAAAAUUGAGUUAAACCAAACAGUAUCUCGUGUUUUCCUCUCUUCUUUCCACUUGUUUGUUUGUUUGUUUGUUUCUUUUUAAAGAUUUGACAUGAUUUCUGUAUCCCAGGUUAACCUGGAACUUUAGUCCACCAUGGUUUCAAAGUUGGCAAUCCCUUAACUACUUCCUCCUGAGUGCUAGGAUUACAGGUAUUCACCAGCCCAUCUCAGCCACUAUUAAUACCUGCCAUUGCCUCUUUAUGAAAUGAUGGCCAGUCUAGCUGAGUGUGGGAAAUUGUGGAUAGUGGCUGACUAUCUUUUUGUUGCUCUUCUUUUGGCUAGACUCAAACCCAGGAUCAUGGACAUACUAAACAAUUGCUCUAGCACUGAACUGUAUCUCUGCCUCUGGGGAAGGUAUCUUUAAAAAAAGGUUGUAGAGUUUGCCAGAUCCUAUGAGUGACCUCAAAAGAGAAGAGGAGGGUUCUCCCCUCAGUGAUAAAGGUAACACAGUUAAGUAAGGUAAGUAGGAAAAUAAAGGCUGACUCUGAUCUCACUUCUGGUUAGGGAGACUCUUAGAAAUGCCAUUUCUUUUGGGGAGGAGGGGUUGAGACCAGGUUUCUCUGUAGCCCUGGAUCUCCUGGAACGUUACCUUGUGUUCUUUGUCAUGAUGAUCUUCCUUGCCAUAGGCUGAAGGGAACAGGCCAAUUGGCCAUGGACUAUAACUUUUGAAACUGUGAGUCAAAAUAAACCUUCUUUCACCUUUUAAGUUGUUUGUCUCUGGUAUUUUGUUAUAGAGAUGGUAAGGGUACGAACCACAAUCAGGGUUCUGAUUAGUUAGAAUUAGGACUUAAAAGCAUAAUUCCAUGAUGAUUUAACACAGGACCUCAUGUUAAACAACCAAGCUGCACACACCCACAGUGGUUCUGUAUAUUGCACCUAGAUCUUCAAAGACAUGCUAGGCAAACAGCCUCUCACUGAACUUAGUUCCAGUUCCACUCCACCAUCCCCAGAAUGCUGAAGACCAAACAGAUCUCAUGUGCAUGCUUUGCCACUGGCUACACCCACAGCCCUCUCAUUUUCAUUAGAAAUUGUUCUUUAUUUUAUGUGUAUGGGUCUUUUGCCUGCAUGUAUGUCGAUACUACAUGCAUGUAUAGUAGAGUCCAGAAGCUGAUGGGGCUGAAUCUCCUAAGACUAGAGUUAUAGACAAUUCUCAGCCAACACAUUGGUGCUGGGAAUCUAACCACUGAGCCAUCUUUUCAGCCCCAUCUUCUAUUUCAGUUUUUGUUUUGAUGUUUUGAGACAGGUUUUCUCUGUGAAACACCUGGUGUCGUGGAACUCACUUUGUAGAACAUGCUGGCCUUGAACUCAAAAGAAAUUUGACUGCCUUUCCCUUUCCAAGUGCUGGGAUUAAAGAUGUGCCCAGUUAUUUAAGUUUUUUAAUGUGGUUUUUUGUUUGCUUGUUUUUAGUGGUACUAGAGAAUGACCCUGGAGCCUUUUGCAUGGUAGGCAUGUACUAUACCAGUGACCUCUUUACUUAAUUCGUUAGUUAUUUUUAUUUUGAGACAGGGAUGCCACUUAAUUGUCCAGGCUGGUUUAAAUUCACUCUGUAGCCCCAACAAACUUAAACAUGUUUUUUUUUUUUUCCUUCCUCAACUUCCCAAGUAGUUGGAAUUAUAGGCAAUUACAGGCCUUUGCCACAAGGCUUGACAUACUUUUUUAUUAAAUAAAUUAUUUAUCUUUAUUUUAUGUGCAUUGGUGUGAAGGUAUCAGGUUCCCUGGAACUGGAGUUACAGACAGUUGUGAGCUGCCAUGUGGGUGCUGGGAAUCAAACCCAGUUCCUCUGGAAGAGCAGUCAGUGCUCUUAACCUCUGAGCCAUCUCUCCAGCCCGAGGCUUGACUUCUUUUCAUUUUAUUUAUUCAUUUAUUUUUUAUUAUUUAUUUAUUUAUUUAUUGGUUUUUCGAGACAGGGUUUCUCUGUGUCUUUGGAGACUGUCCUAGAACUAGCUCUUGUAGACCAGGCUGGUCUGGAACUCAAAGAGAUCCACCUGCCUCUGCCUCCCGAGUACUGGGAUUAAAGGCACACGCCACCAGUGCCCGGCUGAGGCUUGACAUCUUGACUUUUUUUUUUUAAUUUUCUUGUUGGUAGUGCUGGGGUGGGGACCCAAGGUACUCUACUACUGUACACUAGCCCUACUUUUACAUUUUCAAAUAAUAGAAUUUUGGGAACUGGGGAUGGCUCACUGGAUAAACACUUGCUAUGCAGUUUCAGUCCUCAACGCCUAUAUAAAACACUGGGUGUGGGCUCUAGAGAGAUGGCUCAGCAGUUUAAAAAAGGCUUGCUGCACUUGUAAUAGAUAAGAGCUUUGUCCUAGUAUCCAUGUUAGGCUGUCUAUAACUCCAGCUCCAGGGAAUCUAGUACCCUUUUCUCACUGCCAUGGACUCACAUGCCAAAGUACACACACACACACACACACACACACACACACACACACACACACACACACACACACAAUAAAUAAAUAAAUAAAUAAAUAAAUGAAAUAAAAUAAAAUCUAAAAAGAAGCCUAACAUGGCCAUGAGAACACGUAACCCCAGUCCUAUAGAUGAGAGACUUGAGGAUCAGUAGGGAUUGCUACCUCCAAGUUUGUUCCAGGUUCAUUAAGAAACCAUGUGUCAAAGAAUAAAGUAGAGAAUAAUGGAGUAGGACUCUUGAUUCCCUCUGUCUGGCCUCUGUGCACAUUUCCCAUGUAUCAUUGUUAUGAUAGCACAUGGGGGAUCUUGGUGGAUUCCAUGGCAGGCAAGGGUGACUGAGGUGGGGGACAAACAUGCCAGGCAGACAGAUCUUAGUGAGGAGUUUCAUUAGAAAGGGUAGGGAGGGGGAAGGAAAGAGAAAAGAGGCACAGAGAGGACAGAAGAGAAGAGGGGGACAGGAAAAAUCCUGUCUGCCCCAGGGAAACGGCAGGAGAGAGAGAGAGCAGAAAGAGAGUGGGGAAGAGAGGAAAAGAGUGUAAGUGAACAGGGGUCUGUCUUUGAAAGGGGUCCUUGGCACCUGCGUCCAGACUAGUCAUGGAACCCUGGGCUGACCAGGGUACUGCCUGAGUGCAUUCUGCCAGGUGACAGGGGCAGACCGGCAUAAUGACUGAAUUUUUACAUUCCCAUGAUUGUUAUUAAAAAGGUAAAAGAGUUAGGUGAGGCAGGUAAGGGAAUAAGGGCCUUGAGUUCUCAAGAUUACUUCCUGCUGACCUUGGGGGGGGGGGAAUGUCGACCAUCUUUGGGGGACCUGAGGAAGCUGGGGUAGCUGGUGUUUCAUCACAGUCCAGGCUGUAUGGAACUCUCUGGUGCCUCUUAGACCUGGCAAGAUCUUGGCAGAGCAGAGGACAUGGUUAAAUUUAAGAAAAAACAUUUUCUUAGGUCCUGGUACUUGAGGGAAGAAGGAUCAUAGAUGAGGGAGUGGUUCCUGAGGGUUCCCAAGAUGAGGGAAGGGAGUCACGGGAUCUGGGAAAGGGUGAAUGCUAUUCAUCUGGAGUGAAACUGACCUUUCUGGGUAAGUCCAAUUCAGGACCCUGGAACUUAGAAGUUUUAGACACAUUAGCAUUUCCAUUGUUUAUGAUCUGUACAUUAUAGAAAUGGCAGUAUACUCAUGUCAGAAAUGAUUUUGUUUGAAAACAUUAACACUCUUAAAACUGACAGAUAUCUUUAGCAAAGCGAAAAGCACCUUAAUUUUGAGCUUGCAGUUAUCAUAUAAUGGUAUAGUUUGGUGUUUUCUACUCUGUAAGAGUUGGAUUAGUAGCUUAUUAAAAUUAUUAAUUAAUGUUAAAACUGAACAGUUGAUUGAGAGAGAAAGAACUCUGAUAACUUGUAAUUGUACACCUUAAGUUACUUUGUUAUGCCUAGAAACAUUUUUAGAUUCAUACAUCUUAACUUUUUAUGGUCUUACAUAAACUUUAUACCUUAAAACAUCUUUUUAAACAGAGGAAUAGUAAGAAGUUAUACUGAAACCUACCUGCCAUCCUAAACUGCAUCAGAAUUCUUGAGAAGGAUAAAAUUUUUCCUGGAUUAAUGAUUAGAGAAUGACAGAGAUUUACUAGUUGGCCAAGUGGACAGCCACUCCCAGAGUCCUACAUAGUUGUUGAGGUUUUAAGGACAUCCACCUUCUGCUGAUAGUGAGCCCUAUGGUUUAAGAGUUUUAGGAAUACUUGCUUAUCAUUGGCCUAAGCAAGGUGGAGAAAGUCUUAUUCCACUGUACUCUUUUUAGUUUUUUGAGACAGGGUUUCUCUGUGGCUUUGGAAGCUGUCAUGGAACUAGCUCUUGUAGAUCAGUCUGGUCUCAAACUCACAGAAAUCCGCCUGCCUCUGCCUCUGCCUCUGCCUCCCAAGUGCUGGGAAUAAAGGCGUCCGCCACUACCGCCCGGUUUCCACUGCACUCUUGUCUUCGGUCCGAAGAGUCCUUUAUAGCAGAUGAGGUGAAAGACAGGGUUUCUCAGUGGCUAUCGUUACCACUUUUGUUGCUGGAGUUUCUUCAGUGUCCACCAGUCUUCUUAGAGAAAAUGUGGUGGUACCAGCGGUUGGCCUGUCUCUCUGUUAUGAAAAGCUUUUUAAUACAACAUUUUAAAUGUCAUUUUCUCUAGAUCUCUGAGCAUUUGAGGGCUGUCUAGUAUAUCUCAGCAGACAAAAUUUGUCUUUAGUUACUUGCCUUAGGCACAUAGGUGGCUACGUAACGCUUUAUCCCUGUAAAUAAUUAAUCUGUACUUAGUAUGGCUAUAAUGACAUUAGUGCAGGGUCUGUGUGGCAAACUGGAUUGAAGCUGUGAGGUUGCGGAGGGAUCGUUUACUCAGAGCCCUCCAGUCAGACUAGAACUGGUUUUAACUUAGUAACUUAAAUAUGCCUGUGAAGGACAAAGAAAUUAAGAUAAAUCCCCUUUUGUAAUACUAAAUUUUUAUUGUAUAAUAUAUAACAAUUUAGAAAUAUUUGAGACUUAUUGCUUCCUCAGUCUAGGAGAUACACAUACAUAGAGUUAAAGCUGGCUUACAUUUUUAAAGAGUGGCUACAUGUACACAUACACAUAUAUAUUAAACAGGCCUGGGUAAAAGUAAGAAGGAAGGACCAGAGUGUGAUCUCUGAUUCUCAUGUUGUAGCAAACAGACAGGCCAUUUAAAGAGACAGAGAAGACUUCAAACUGCCAGUGACAAGAAAGCAGAUCCGCUGCAGAUAGAACAAGCAGGGUUUUUGCAUGAAAUGUGGGCCCUACAGGGCCCUGGAAGGGCACACCAUUACGGAAACAAGCCAUAUGAAACAGCCAGCGAAAGAAAUUAGAGACCAAAAAAAAAAAAAAAAAAAAGGUAAAUGAAUUAUGACUGGCAGCAGGGUUUGUCAGCAGAAGCUGGCUAGACUGUCCCUCUGACUAGGCUGACAGAAGGGAGUAACCCAUGGGAUGGGCGGAUCACCAGCCAGGCCGCAUGGUUGCUCUCAGUCAAGUUGUCAUAAGCAGGUUCCUUCCACUGGCAGAAGUUAGAAAGGUCCCAUAAAGUUUUGAGAUAUAAUUUUGUUGGCUUAUUCCACAAAAGCAAGGCAGAAAGAUACAUGACACCAAGAGGCACAACAUCCAAAAAGACCCCCAUAGGUCUGAGAAACAAAUGCACUAGUCAGUAUGGACAGUGCUAGGGUAUAAAACACAAGAGACCCCUGUGUGGCGGAGAAACGAAUGUACCAGCAGAUAUGGACGGUGAUAGGGUGUAAACCCUGGAAACCUUAUUUGUGGAAUAAAACGUCCCAAGCAGACCCAGUCUGCUGUGAGCCCCUGGCAUCUCUCUAUAAUCUCCAGCAUCCCAGAUACUAAGGGAGGAGGCAUAGUCCCAUUUUGUGGUCCAUCAAGGGCAAGGGCUUGGUCACCCAGUACUGGGUUUUUUUACUGGGCCAAAAUGAAGAAACAAUGGUCUCGAUACAAGUCCUAACUCAUGGAAGCAUGGCAGAGUUGAGAGAAAGGGCUAGGCUUACUGGACCUGGUGUUGAUGGGGAUGGAAGAAUCCAGAGAUCCUUCGUUGGAAAAGUGACAGAGUUGUAGGUUACAGGGUGCCAAGAGCAGGAGGAAAUGCCAGGGAAGCCUGCCAAGUCACGGGCAAAGCGCAUGGACCUUGUCGGAAUCCAUGCAGGUGGGGAACAAACACGCCAGGCAGAGAGAGCUCAGUGAAAACUUUUAUUUGAAAGGGGAGGAAAGGGGAAAGGAAAGAGAAAAGAGACACAGACAGUGAGAGGACAGAAGAGAAGAGGGAGACAGGAAAAGUCCUGGGUACCCCAUGGCAACGGCAGGAGAGACAGCAGAAAGAGAGAGUGGGAAAGAUAUAAGUGGGCAGGGGUCUGUCUUUUCGUUUUUGUUUGUUUUUCGAGACAGGGCUUCUCCGUGGCUUCUGAGGCUGUCCUGGAACUCACUCUUAUAGCCCAGGCUGGUCUUAAUCUCUGUGAGAGAUUCCCCUGCCUCUGCCUCCCGAGUGCUGGGACUAAAGGCAUGUGUCACCACCGCCUGGCAGGGGUCUUUCUUUAACAUGGGUCCUUUGCGUCUGCGUGCAGACUAAUUCUCAUGGAUCCCUGGGCUGACCAGAGUACUGCCUGAGUGCAUUCUGCCAGGUGACAGGGCAGGCCAGCAUGAUGCUUGAAUCCUUACAUGCAUGCAUAUGCAUACAUAUAGGUAUGCCACAUACAUAAACACACAAAUAUGUAUUUUAGAAUUUGGCGUUUAAUAAACAUGGAGUCAUCCUUGAAUGGUGCUGUAUACGCCCUUGAAUUCUUUAGAAAAUAUACAGUUCAUGAGUACAAAGUGAAUUGCUACUGGGAUCACGAGUCAGAAAGCCAGUUUUGAUUUGUUCCUAUGUAAUUGCCUUUGUCCUUCCCCAGCAUAUUGGACAGUCUAUGUAGGAAUACCUCCCUUCCCCAGGCUCAGUGAGCAACUGGUACUGUUCUUCCAUCUAACAUCCUUCAUAGCAGUUUCUCUUCUAUACUACUUUCUGUCAAGGGCAGCUGGGAUUCAAAGCAUGGGUCACUGUACCCCUAUGCCCCGCUCAUCAUUUUUAUUUUAUUAAUUUUUUUAAUUUAGUUUUUUUAAAAAUACCGUGUCUCACUGUGUGCUUUAGUCUGGCCUUCACCUCCCAAGUGCAAGAAUUACAGGCAUGCUCCAUAAUGCCCAGAUUUUUUGUUGUUACUUUUUAAGAUUUACUUCUUUUUAUUAUGUGUAUGAGUAUUUUGCACAGGUGUAUAUAUGCCAGGUGCAUGCCUGGUGCACAGGGAGGGCAAAAGUGUGUAUGUGAUCAUUUGGAAUUGGAGUUAUAGAUGGCUGUGGGUGCUGUGAAUCUAACCCUGGAUCCUUUCAAAGAUCAGCCAGAGCCCUAACAACUGAGCCAUCUGAGUUAUUGGUUUUGUUUUGCGGUCCCAUCUUGUUAUUCACCCAUGUUGUUUGUAGAUUGCAAAUAUUUCUGCCAUGUCCUAUCAGUGCUGGAAGUAAUGACUAGUAGAGGGCCACCACACUGUCAUUUUCUGCUUUCUCUUCAAAAUUUUGAGUAUAUAAUUUUAUAAUUUCCUCCUUCCCUUUUUCUCCCUAAAGUCUUAUCACAUAUACCCCCACACACACACACACGCCUUCUUUUCAAUUUAUGCUUUUUUCUUUCUUUUGGUAUUUUGACACAGGGUAGCUCUGACUGUCCUGGAACUUGCUCUGUAUAACAGGUUGGGCUUGAAUUUACAGUGAUCCACCUGCCUCUGCCUCCUGAGUGCUGGAAUAAAAGGUGUUUGCUAGCACUUCCCAGCAUUUUCAGGUUUUGUGGGGUUUUUUGUUUUGUUUUGUUGUUGUUGUUUUUUUUUUUUUUUUCCUUUGACAGUGUUUCUCAGUGUAACUAUCAUGGCUUUCCUGGAACUCACAGAUCCAAAUGCCUUUGUCUCCCAAGUGUUGGGAUUAAAGUUGUGAGCAACACUGCCCUGCCUCUAUUUCUUUAACUGGUGUGUGUGUGUGUGUGUGUGUGUGUGUGUGUGUUCCUAAAUACAAAUUGCUCAUGUGUAUGUUUUCAGCACUGACAAUUUGGUAUUAGAUAUCAAAAUAGUGUAUCCUAACAUGUGGAGGACUUUUUACUCCCACUCUCAGCAUCUCUUAACUUAGCUGCAAUUCUUUGUGUAGGAUUGAUUGAGGCCUUGUGAAUUUUCUUCUGCUUUUUCGUUCUCUUUAAAUUUUUUUUCCUUUUGGAAAAGAUUUCUUUUUAUUUUAUGUGUAAGAGUGUUUUGCCUACAUGUAGUAUCUAACACAUGGCCUUGGAUCUUCUAUAAUGGUGUUGUAGAUGAUUAGCUGCCACGUAGGUGUUGAGAUUCUAAUCUUCCUCCUGAACCGGCAAUUGGUCUUAAUUUUAAUUGCUAAACCGUUUCUCUAGCUUGAACCUACUUUCUUAAUCUUGUAAUAAAGAUGGGUUUUGUCUUUUCUUUCUUCAUUUUUGUUUGUUUGUUUUUUUGUUUUUCCAGAACGGGUUUCUCUAUCUAGCUUUAAAGCCUGUCAUAGAACUAGCUCUGUAGACCAGGCCUCUGCCUUUGUCUCCCAAGUGCUGGGAUUAAAGGCAUGCGCCACCACUACCUGGCUACUCUGAUCAUUUUUGCUCUUACAGCUUCAUCAUUUGUUUUCUUACAGCCCCAUGACAGUCUUCAAUAAAAAGAAAACAACACAAUAAGGAACUAUGUUACAGGCACUCUGAGAUGGCUGUAAAUCAGUCCAAUAGGAUAAUGGUUUAGGUGACGUUUUGCCCUGAUUAGUCAUUGCCACCACUUUACAAAUGAUUCUUUUUCCUGCAGGCUGGAAAUUAACCCUAGGGCCUUGGAGCUACUAGAUAAGUGCUUAACCACUGAGCAAUAUUUCCACUCCUGCCUGCCUUAGUAUUUUGACAAUAAUACCUGAUGAGAAAAGUUUAAGGGAGGAAGGAUUUUUAUGGUAUUUUUUCCUUUAUUUAUUUUUGUGUGAACAUAUACAUUACAUGGUACACAUGUGGACUUCGAAAUAGGUUCUCUUCUUCCACCAUACGAGUUGCAAGGAUGGGACUUUAAUGCUCAGGAUUGAUAGCAAGUACUUUUAUGCACUGAGGCAUCUUGCCAGCCCGUGGAAGGAUUUGUUUGGCUUACAGUUUCAGAAAAUAUAGUUCAUCAUAGUGAGGAUAGGUUGAUGCUUCCUGUACCGCUGUGCCAACUUUUGGCUCCUAUUUCUUCCAUCUUGAAGCAGAGGGUCAAGAAGUAGUAAGUCUGGACUGUUUCCUCUAAGAUUUUCUUCCGCUAACCCACUUCAUUUGGGGGAAGGGGAGGGUUUCUCUUGUAGACCAGGCUGGUCUCGACUCACAGAGAUCUGCCUGCCUCUGCUUCUCAAGUGCUGGGAGUAAAGGCGUGUGCCACCACUGCCCGGCCCACUAGCCCACUUCUAGCAGCUUCACUUAUCCAAGAUAUCGUAGACACCGCUAGCACCACCAAAUCAUCCCUGGCUGCGGACCAAGUGUUCAAACACAUGAGCUGGUGGGGGACAUUUUAUCUUAUUAUACAUAAUCUUUUCUUUGGUUAUAGCACUGUCCUAAUAGUUAAGUUUGGAACAUUGCCUUUGAUUUACUAUGUCAAUCCUUACAUUUGACUAUUUCAGAAUUCUGAGGAGUUAAUGCUUCCAUGAAUAUCUCAGAAGGAGACAUGGACAAAGGAACAGGUAUCUCACUCCAAUAGUUUGGAAGAAACUUGGAGAAGAAAAGUGUUUAUCCAACUUACAUGUCAUAGACUGAACCAAGGCAGGAACCUGGAGGGGUUUCAGUUGCAAAUGCCUGCAGGAUCCUGAUGGGGGUACAUGUGUGAGAUGGUUCCUGGUAUUUCAUACUCUUCCCUUUUCUUGAAAAGCUUGUUUUGUUUUGUUUUUCCUUUACUGUUCUUUAAUUUAUCAUAGAGAUUAACGGAUGACAAGGGAUUCGAGAUUCUAAGAGGAUGGGACAGUGUUUCAGACUCCGACCAACCUAAUGUCCAAAAUGCAUCUAAAGGAAGGGCUUAGACUAGUACUAGUGCUGCUGAUAAUUGUCUGGGAAUGUCGAUCCAGGAUUGCCAGAAUUUCUGUCUCUCUACAAGGAAACUUGAGUAGCUUUAAAGUGUUUUUUGCUUUUAGUGCUUCAGGACAAUAGAGUAUGUUUAUAAAUGCCUUAAUAAUCUUACAGCAUCUGUUUCUUUGUAAUUGUAUUAUUGUCAAGUUACUGUAUUCUUAUGUUACAAAAUAAGGGUAUGUAGAAUAAUUUGUGUUCAUUCAGCUUGAGGCCUGGCAGGUUACUAUGGGCAAAGUUCAGAACUGGACCACAAUUUUGAAUUCAUUUGUGUAAAGUAGAAUGAAAUAAUCUAGGACAGAAUAGAUCAUUAUAUGUACAUAACAACAGGAAAACUGUAGUCCCACUUGGUAACUAAGAGUAAAUAUUGUUGUAAAUUUUCUGUUUGCUACCUAUGUUUGUGUAUCUUUGGUUUAAUGUAAUGGUUUUCCUUAUUGGUGGUUAAACUCCUAGAUACUGAAUGAAAUGACAUGAACAUACUAAUCCCUGUAGACAUGUCUCUUUAGCAAUAUAAUAUUUCUUUAAAAUUAAGAGAACAUUCAUUUAAAAAUGAACAUUUUGCGGCUGCAGAAUGGUUUCAUGAUUAAGAGCACAGACUAUUCUUGCUGGGGACCUGAGUAGUUUGGUUCCCAGCACCCAUAUUGGGUGGUUCGCAACUGGCCAUAACUUCAGUUCCAUAGGAUUCAAUGCCUUUGGCAUCCAUAGCUCCCAGCACUCACAUACACAUGCCCAUCUACCCCCACCCCACCCCGCCCUCAAAUGCGUAAUUACAAUAAAAACAUUAAGACUUUUUUGUCUGAAACCUAAGUUGAGAGGGUAUCUCAUGUAGCCCACACUGGUCUUGAAUUUACUCUGUCCUCAAGAUGGCGCUGAACUCUCGUCAUCCUCCUUCCUAUUCCUCCCAAAUUCUGGGAUUAUAUCCAUUUGACAUCAUGCCUGGCAAAAUCUAGGGGUUUUUGUUUUUUAACAUUCUUCAAAAAUAUUAUAAAGUAGGUCUAAAUUUCUGCAGUGAAGAAUUGAGCUUCAACUAAUAUGGUACUUGUACUCUAUCUGAUGCUCUGGGUUUGAAGCAGCCCAAUGUGGGAAUGGGAUGUGAUGGAGCAAGCAAGAAAAUAGAUGUCAUAUGGGCUGUUUCCACCGAGGUGAUUCCCUGGGAGUGCCACUUACAAAGGACAUUUAAUGUUUAUCAUAUUGUAUGCUAAGCUGCUUUAAUUUUUAAUGUUACUCACCCACCUACUUAAGGCUCUUAAAUUUUUCUAUGGUAUGCGGGUGGGUGGUUGUGAGCGUGUAUUUGUGUUUCCAUGCGUGGGUCUAUUGAUUGAUAGAAAUUCUCUUCCUUGGAUUCUUUCUACCUUAUAAUUGAAGUAGGAUCUUGCAGUGAAUCCAGAAACCUCCAAUUUGGCAAGUCUAGGUGUGCAAUCCCCGUUUCUACCUCCUAGGCACUGGAAUUGCAAGUGAACUAUCAUGCCAAUACUAACCAUCAUUCAGCUUUUGGUAGGGAUCCUAACCAAGGCUCUUAAAUUUUACCAGAAUUGCUUUGCCUACUGAGCCAUCUCUUCAGCCCCAACUUGUUAUUGCUUUACUUUUAUUAUUACUUAAUCUGCUUCUGCACUGGCAUGAUAUUUAGAACCUUAACCUUUAGCGAUGCGUCCAAGAAAAAGUCAGAUUACUUAAUGGGCAGUGAGAACUGGCAAAUCUACUCAGGGGAGCUGAUCUUCAUGUCUUUAACCAGGCCUCCCAACAGGGAUUCACUUGUUGUUAGAAAGCCUCUACAGAAGCCACUCACCUUCCCUACCUCCCAGAUCCUCCCGGCUCUCCCGAUGCACCGGCCAUUCUCCAUUUGGUAUUUUCCCUAAGUAGAAGAUUCAUUUCCUUUCAUGCCUCUUAAUUUUUCAUGUCUUUCUGUCAUGCCUCACCCAGAAAUAUUAGCUAAGGGUUUUACUAUUCUAGAAGAGAAUCUUUACAUCUUUGCUAGUAACAAUAGUUGAGCUUAUCUUUAUGCUACCUCAUUCUAAUGGUUUUACCUACUUUUUGCUUCAAUUUCACUAUAAAUCUCUCAUACCUUUUAUUUUGAGAAAACUUGGAUUUUUUUUUACCAUUUUCCUGAUUCUUUAUUUGCUGCUUCAAAUUUUCUGGUGAUGGGAGAAAAAUUUUAUUUACCUCAUCUAUUUCUGGCUAGAUCUUUUCACUUCAGGUUAUAUGAUAUGUUCAGUCUAUUUUCUUUUGACUUGGUGUUGAAAUGUCUUCUUUGGCCUUUGUGCUGAGUAUGAAUUUUGUGCAAUUCAUAUUUCCUUUAAAAAUGCAAAGUACUGUGUUUUGGUGUUUUUGGUUUUUUUUAUGCUGGGGAUAGUGUCAGAGGCCUUUAAUCCCAGUAUGUAAGAGGCAGACAGUAAAUAUUUUUGAGUUCAAGGCCAGCCUGGGCUACAGUAGAGAGACCCUGUAUUGAAAAAAAAGGAAAAAUUGCUGCUAGUGUGUGUGGGUGAUUAAAUAAACUAAGAAAGGACAGUGCUAAUUUUGUAUAUAGUCACCUGCCUCUAAAUGCAUAAAAACCUUGUACACUAGGCUUUCCAAAAUAUUUAUUUGGUAUGUGGGGUAGUUACAAAGGAAAGGUAUAUGACCUCAAUUCAGAAUCAGUGGAAUAUUGGCUGUUACAGGAUAUGGGUUGUCUGGUUUACAAACUGAAAACAUUCUGUAGAAAGCCACAGAAAACAUAGAUAUAUUAAUACUAUUAAACUACAUUCAUAAAAUGGCUAAGAGAGUGAUAGUGUUUUAGGCCAGGCCUGACUACUGCGGUUUUACACCUGGUCAAAUCCUGCUGCCUCACCCCUACCCCCCUAAAAAACCAAAAUAGGAUAAAAGGGAAGGGUGGCGUUUGAUCUAAGUGGCCAUUGAAAGAAGUAAAAAUUGAACUUUGGAUUGAAAUUUUAGCCUGUUCUUUAGGUACUUACAUGAAAAUGGCAGUCAGGUAAUCCAUUUUGGUUAAACUUAUUGGACACCACGUAUAUUUUCCAAUUAACAUAAUAGCAAAGUAUUAUAUUUUAUUAGGCCAUUUUCCCAUGUAUGCCAUUUCCUUUUGAUAAUUCACUGCAUUUGUAAAGAAAUUGGUAAAAAGAAAAAAAAAUCAAUUGGAGGAAAUGGACCUUCAGUUUCGACAAACCAGGGAGAGAAGACUCCUUCUUUCCCUCCCCAUUUUCUGUAGUAGUGAUAUAGUUUUAUGGAAAAAAUAAAAUAUAAAACAAGGGCUCGGGACUUUUAUCCCAGGGAUAAAAGCCCUGGGGUCCAGUGCCUGUCCCCAGAACUGCAUAUGCAUGCUUUGUAAUACCAGCAUUCAGUCAGAUGGGCUUUAAUGCCAGCCUAGUUUACUUAGGGAGGGCAACAAUUAAUAUCCAAGUUCCUAUCUCAACAACACCCCCCCUCAAAAAAGAAGAUAAAACAAAAAUUUUAGGAUGUACAUACAUUGAUUUAAAUUUUGUCAGCUGUCGGACCCCCGUCCUAUGAGGCAAUUUAAUCGUGUCUAGCAUGAGUACUUCAGCCUUUCUCUCCCUCAGCAUGAGAUUCCUAGGACAUUUAAAUUCUUUUGGGGUGCUAAUAGUUUCAAAGUUCAAAGGAGCAGUGUAGAAAUCCUUAGAUAUCUGCAUAACUGUGGUCCCCUGCUAAUACUGAUUUUCUGAUUCUACGGGGUUGCUUUAAAUUUCUUAUCAAGGCCUCAUUGCAUAACAAUCAAUGCUGAAAGGACUAUUGAUUCAUUGUUUGAGUUGCAGCCUAAGGUGAUUUUUGUCAUGGGGUGCUCUAGUUCUCAGGAUAAAGACCCACUCUCAGGAUAAAGACCGGAGACAGACUUUGAGGCACCUUUCAGGGGUCUGGCAGAGGGUAUUAGAAAGGCUGACAAUGAAAUUCCUUAGUCUUAUCUCUGUACCUUUCAGGCUUGAAGAUAAGAAAAGUCAGGCCGCUCCAGGUUUUAGAUAGGCGCCAAUGAUUAUCACCAACUGUCUAUCUAAUGCAAAAGAAAAUAGAAAGUAAAGGCAAAAUUUUAACCUUCUCUCCUGUUUGUGGUGACCUUCUGGACCAAGGUAAAGAUAAAAGACAUUCCUUUUAGCAAAAGAAAUUCUAAGUACUUGUUAUCAAAAAACAAUGUAUGGUAUUUCAUUAAAUAGAAUCAAUAUAUUAAAAGGUAUUAUGUUCUUGGUUCAAUAUAGACAGACAGUCAGACAAAUAAAUACAUUUUUUUGAAAAAUAAAAGGCACAUGACCACCUUUUUAGUCCGACCAUUUUUAAAAAUUAUUAUUUUUAUUUACAUUGGUGUUUUGCCUGCAUGUUUGUCUGUAUGAGGCUGUCAGAUCUUGGAGUUAUAGACAGUUGGAGGUUCCAUGUGAUUGCUAGGUCUUCUAGGAGAGCAGCAAGUGCUCUUAACCAGCCCUAGUCUGCCAGUUCUGAGUAUCUGGGUUCAACUAUCUGAUUUGCGACAUGUUUAUUUAUUUUAUGAAAUCUGUUGGUAAAGACUAAUAUUUCCAUUUUAUUGCCUGACAAAGCAUACUAUUAUAUUUCAUAACACAUAAUAAUUAGAAAUUCACAUUUCAGUUUAAAAAGUUUUACUGGAACUUAGCCACAUUUACUCAUACAUUGUACACACUGUGGUGCUCUUUGGCUGCUAUAUAUGAGUAACCAAGACCACAGAGACUAAAGGACUGCUGGUGAUUGAGCUGCCAUGUCUCUCUCUCUCUACAUUGUUUUUAGUAGCUUUAAAUGGCAGAUUAGAGACAUUGUUACAAGCAAAUAGGAACUGUCCUCAUCCUGCUAUAUUGACAGCCAAGGACACUAUUUCUUUCCUCUCAAUUGUUCACCGUAGGCUGACAGGCCCUAGCCUUCUUUUGCUCGCUUUAGAUAAAAGCCUCUACAAUUUUUUAACCCUAGAUGCUUAUGGGUUCUCCUUUGCUGCAAAUUCCAGUCUGACGAUCCAUUCUUUUUUUUUGGAGGGGUGGGGUUCGAGGCAGGGUUUCUCUGUGGCUUUGGAGCCUGUCCUGGAACUAGCUCUUGUACACCAGGCUGGUCUCAACCUCACAGGGAUCCGCCUGCCUCUGCCUCCCUAGUCCUGGGAUUGCUGGGAUUAAAGGCAUGCACCACCACCGCCUGGCAUUCUUCAUGGUUUUCAAUUUCCUACUUCAACAUUUUAGUAUAAUCCUCUACCAACUACCCACCCCAA